CCUACGGGGGGCACCAGUGGGGAAUAUUGCACAAUGGGCGGAAGCCUGAUGCAGCGACGCCGCGUGAGGGAUGACGGCCUUCGGGUUGUAAACCUCUUUCAGCAGGGAAGAAGCGCAAGUGACGGUACCUGCAGAAGAAGCACCGGCUAACUACGUGCCAGCAGCCGCGGUAAUACGUAGGGUGCGAGCGUUGUCCGGAAUUAUUGGGCGUAAAGAGCUUGUAGGUGGUUUGUCGCGUCUGCUGUGAAAAUCCGAGGCUCAACCUCGGACUUGCAGUGGGUACGGGCAGACUAGAGUGUGGUAGGGGAGACUGGAAUUCCUGGUGUAGCGGUGGAAUGCGCAGAUAUCAGGAGGAGCACCGAUGGCGAAGGCAGGUCUCUGGGCCAUUACUGACACUGAGAAGCGAAAGCAUGGGGAGCGAACAGGAUUAGAUACCCCUGUAGUC
rnacentral:rRNA from 1 species